rnacentral:sRNA from 1 species
CCGCCCCGCAGAGGGUGGGCCUGCGGCGACCGCGAGCUCAGAGUCCGGACUUGUCGCGCAAUCUGUCUCCUUCGGUUCCACCCCAACCUAGCUGGACUCUCGGUCCGGUCCCUGCCCUCUGGAGACUCAGCCAUUAAAGUUGAGGUGGGGGGAUGAGGAUGUGGGCGGCGUCCAGGUAACUCUGCGGGGCCCUGAUGCUUUCCCUAGAGCCAGCCAUCAGGAGUAACACGAUGCGCCCCCACAUCACCGAACCCAGAACCUCAGUGCUUCAGCACCCCUUCCUCGACAUGAGCUCCGCCCAAUGAGGAGAAGGGUCUUCUCCAUUGGCCGGUGGUGGUCCCCUAUCCAAUUAGAGAGGCUAACGGCCUUCUCUCGUCUGGUUUAGAAGGAAUCGCCGGGGGAAUACAGGCCAAACUACAAUUCCCGAGAGAUCUUGAGCCAGAUGAUUGUGCAUCCAUUUACAUCUUUAAUGUAGAUCCACCUCCAUCUACUUUAAACACACCACUUUGCUUACCACAUCAUGGAUUACCGUCUCACUCUUCUGUUUUGUCACCAUCGUUUCAGCUCCAAAGUCACAAAAACUAUGAAGGAACUUGUGAGAUUCCUGAAUCUAAAUAUAGCCCAUUAGGUGGUCCCAAACCCUUUGAGUGCCCAAGUAUUCAAAUUACAUCUAUCUCUCCUAACUGUCAUCAAGAAUUAGAUGCACAUGAAGAUGACCUACAGAUAAAUGACCCAGAACGGGAAUUUUUGGAAAGGCCUUCUAGAGAUCAUCUCUAUCUUCCUCUUGAGCCAUCCUACCGGGAGUCUUCUCUUAGUCCUAGUCCUGCCAGCAGCAUCUCUUCUAGGAGUUGGUUCUCUGAUGCAUCUUCUUGUGAAUCGCUUUCACAUAUUUAUGAUGAUGUGGACUCAGAGUUGAAUGAAGCUGCGGCCCGAUUUACCCUUGGAUCCCCUCUGACUUCUCCUGGUGGCUCUCCAGGGGGCUGCCCUGGAGAAGAAACUUGGCAUCAACAGUAUGGACUUGGACACUCAUUAUCACCCAGGCAAUCUCCUUGCCACUCUCCUAGAUCCAGUGUCACUGAUGAGAAUUGGCUGAGCCCCAGGCCAGCCUCAGGACCCUCAUCAAGGCCCACAUCCCCCUGUGGGAAACGGAGGCACUCCAGUGCUGAAGUUUGUUAUGCUGGGUCCCUUUCACCCCAUCACUCACCUGUUCCUUCUCCUGGUCACUCCCCCAGGGGAAGUGUGACAGAAGAUACGUGGCUCAAUGCUUCUGUCCAUGGUGGGUCAGGCCUUGGCCCUGCAGUUUUUCCAUUUCAGUACUGUGUAGAGACUGACAUCCCUCUCAAAACAAGGAAAACUUCUGAAGAUCAAGCUGCCAUACUACCAGGAAAAUUAGAGCUGUGUUCAGAUGACAAAGGGAGUUUAUCACCAGCCCGGGAGACUUCAAUAGAUGAUGGCCUUGGAUCUCAGUAUCCUUUAAAGAAAGAUUCAUGUGGUGAUCAGUUUCUUUCAGUUCCUUCACCCUUUACCUGGAGCAAACCAAAGCCUGGCCACACCCCUAUAUUUCGCACAUCUUCAUUACCUCCACUAGACUGGCCUUUACCAGCUCAUUUUGGACAAUGUGAACUGAAAAUAGAAGUGCAACCUAAAACUCAUCAUCGAGCCCAUUAUGAAACUGAAGGUAGCCGAGGGGCAGUAAAAGCAUCUACUGGGGGACAUCCUGUUGUGAAGCUCCUGGGCUAUAACGAAAAGCCAAUAAAUCUACAAAUGUUUAUUGGGACAGCAGAUGAUCGAUAUUUACGACCUCAUGCAUUUUACCAGGUGCAUCGAAUCACUGGGAAGACAGUCGCUACUGCAAGCCAAGAGAUAAUAAUUGCCAGUACAAAAGUUCUGGAAAUUCCACUUCUUCCUGAAAACAAUAUGUCAGCCAGUAUUGAUUGUGCAGGUAUUUUGAAACUCCGCAAUUCAGAUAUAGAACUUCGAAAAGGAGAAACUGAUAUUGGCAGAAAGAAUACUAGAGUACGACUUGUGUUUCGUGUACACAUCCCACAGCCCAGUGGAAAAGUCCUUUCUCUGCAGAUAGCCUCUAUACCCGUUGAGUGCUCCCAGCGGUCUGCUCAAGAACUUCCUCAUAUUGAGAAGUACAGUAUCAACAGUUGUUCUGUAAAUGGAGGUCAUGAAAUGAUUGUGACUGGAUCUAAUUUUCUUCCAGAAUCCAAAAUCAUUUUUCUUGAAAAAGGACAAGAUGGACGACCUCAGUGGGAAGUAGAAGGGAAGAUAAUCAGGGAAAAAUGUCAAGGGGCUCACAUUGUCCUUGAAGUUCCUCCAUAUCAUAACCCAGCAGUUACAGCUGCAGUGCAGGUGCACUUUUAUCUUUGCAAUGGCAAGAGGAAAAAAAGCCAGUCUCAACGUUUUACUUAUACACCAGUUUUGAUGAAGCAUGAACACAGAGAAGAGACUGAUUUGUCUUCAGUUCCAUCUUUGCCUGUGCCUCAUCCUGCUCAGACCCAGAGGCCUUCCUCUGAUUCAGGGUGUUCACAUGACAGUGUACUGUCAGGACAGAGAAGUUUGAUUUGUUCCAUCCCACAAACAUAUGCAUCCAUGGUGACCUCAUCCCAUCUGCCACAGUUGCAGUGUAGAGAUGAGAGUGUUAGUAAAGAACAGCAUAUGAUUCCUUCUCCAAUUGUACACCAGCCUUUUCAAGUCACACCAACACCUCCUGUGGGGUCUUCCUAUCAGCCUAUGCAAAGUAAUGUUGUGUACAAUGGACCAACUUGUCUUCCUAUUAAUGCUGCCUCUAGUCAAGAAUUUGAUUCAGUUUUGUUUCAGCAGGAUGCAACUCUUUCUGGUUUAGUGAAUCUUGGCUGUCAACCACUGUCAUCCAUACCAUUUCAUUCUUCAAAUUCAGGCUCAACAGGACAUCUCUUAGCCCAUACACCUCAUUCUGUGCAUACCCUGCCUCAUCUGCAAUCAAUGGGAUAUCAUUGUUCAAAUACAGGACAAAGAUCUCUUUCUUCUCCAGUGGCUGACCAGAUUACAGGUCAGCCUUCGUCUCAGUUACAACCUAUUACAUAUGGUCCUUCACAUUCAGGGUCUGCUACAACAGCUUCCCCAGCAGCUUCUCAUCCCUUGGCUAGUUCACCGCUUUCUGGGCCACCAUCUCCUCAGCUUCAGCCUAUGCCUUACCAAUCUCCUAGCUCAGGAACUGCCUCAUCACCGUCUCCAGCCACCAGAAUGCAUUCUGGACAGCACUCAACUCAAGCACAAAGUACGGGCCAGGGGGGUCUUUCUGCACCUUCAUCCUUAAUAUGUCACAGUUUGUGUGAUCCAGCUUCAUUUCCACCUGAUGGGGCAACUGUGAGCAUUAAACCUGAACCAGAAGAUCGAGAGCCUAACUUUGCAACCAUUGGUCUGCAGGACAUCACUUUAGAUGAUGGUAAGUUCAUCUCUGAUAUGUUCUUGAAGUAGUGAAGAUUCAGGGACUUUAUUCUCCCAAGUGUCAUGAAAAAGUUUCUAUGGAUUGCUUAUUGGCAUAUGGUUGGGCUUUUAAAUAAGUUGUUAUUAGAAAUAUAUGUUAAUAUAUAACUUUGCCAGGUACCACGGCUCACGCCUGUAUCCCAGCACUUUGGAAGGCUGAGGCGGGUGGAUCACAAGGUCAGGAGUUCAAGACCAGCCUGGCCAACAUGGUGCAACGCUGUCUCUACUAAAAAUACAAAAAAUUAGCUGGGCGUGGUGGUGUGUGCCUAUAAUCCCAGCUACUCGGGAGGCUGAGACAGGAGAAUCACUUGAACCCGGGAGGUGGCAGUUGCGGGGAGCCAAGAUCGCGCCAUUGCACUCCAGCCUGAGCGGCAGAGCAAGACUCCGUCUCG